AAGUGAUGAUUUCUACGUUGUUUUUGGUGAUUGACUCUUUACAAUAUGUGCCUGAUCAGUGUUAAACAGGACAAAUUCACUAACCUAUGGCAUCUCUGGUCGUUUAUUAGCAAAGGAUGUUACCUCUGCAGCAUUUCCUGUCUUCUCCUCGGUAUCGAGGCUUCAAAGUAAAAGCAUACAUGGAACAUUAUAAACAUUACAGCUGGUUCAGAGGCUUUUAACUUUUUUUAUUUUUACAACCCUAGCUGUUCCAAUAUGUUGAUGUGCAAAGGAGAAAAAGGUGCUUGAAUAUCAACUGUUUUACACCGGUACAGUGCUGUUCAAUAUUGCUUUUAUGUUGAAGGACUCUGACUGGCUGAUUUCCCCCUAUGCUUGGCAUGUUUAAAAUAAUGGUCAGUGGUGAAUUUACACAGGUGUAUGUGGAUGAAAACUUUUCUAAAAAUGAUCCUGUGUAUACGGUAUUAUUUUUCAAAUAAUACCGUAUACACAUUAAGUGGGGGAGAUAUUUGUUUUUUUUUUAAAUAUCCUGCUAUUUGUGUACAUGGCCUGAUUUUUCAAUCUGCAAGUUGGAAAUUUCAACUGGAAUGCCCUUUAAGCUGGAAACACGAGCCUGGCUACUACUUGCAGCAAUAUUGAGUAAAGCUUCACACUUUGAUUGUUUCAGCAGUUUCCUAUUAUCUUUGUAAUAUUUAGUCAGUCAUACAGGUACUACUGUUCAGUGUUCAUUAGACAGGAUAGUUCCGCGCUUAUAUAGACAAAAUUGCCAUUAUUUUAACAAUAGCAGCCAUAGUGGCUAAACAAGCAGUCAAGAAUAACCACCCAUUGCUGUUUAACAUUUCACGUUCAGUUGAACAGUUCAGCACAGCUUAUAAAAAUAAAAAGAAAGGUUUUGCAAUUAAACGUAACUUUAAAACCCAUUUUGAGGCUCUGGUUGGCUGUAUUUGUAUUUAUCAAUGGCUUUGGAAUGAGCAUACAUGUUUUUUCCUACUGUCAACCUCUAGGGAAAAAGGCGGAGAUGAUGUGAUCUGCGACUCGUUAGUUUCGAGUUCCGUGGCAAAUGAAACACACCAUAAGUCCACGGUUAUCUCCUCAGAACCCCCUACUGCAGCUUUAAACCAAAACGUCGCCGCUCCACAGAUCUCCAGGGCCUCCUGCACAGCCGAGCAGACAUCUGCAGCUGAGAUCCCCCCGUGCCUCUCAUCAUGAGAUUAUAGAGCUGUUUUGGAGAGGCCAUAUUUUGAUUUAAAGCCUCUGUCACAUGAACAUAAUGCACUCGUACAAGCAGGCUAGCGGGCUCUUUUCAGCACACAGGAACAGUGCUGUGGGAGAGCGUGAAUAAGUCUGCUUAUUACUCAGCGAACCACCAAAGAUCCAAGGUUGUCACUAUUACACAAUGGUUUACCUCUUCAAAUGUGCCGAUGCCUUUCAUUCAAAAACAUUGGACGUCUUUGUCGAGCAGAACGGUGAGGACUGAGACGGACCACUUAUUGUGCCACCCACGCACAACUGCUGCACGCAGCAUCAGAAAGGAAACAAAGACGGCCACGAAAGUAAAAGAAGAGGAAAAGAUGGAUCCUGGGCACCGAGAAUAAGACAGAAGAAACAAAAGCAGAAUCGUGUCUGUUGUUUCCAACUGCAGCUCGGAAAGAAAAGCUUUCCAUCUAAAACUGGAGGCAGGCAACAGAUGAGAGUGCUCACCAGAUUCUGAGUGCGAGGAACAAGUGCUGCUCUUGGCGAAUACAUUAAAGCCCGAAGCUCAUGCCAGCGUAUCUUUGUCAUUCAGCAUCGUUGUUACUUAUCUAUUUAAAUUGUUUGGGGCUUACGAAUAUAAUUGAGGUACUAAUUUAUCUUGUAGGUGACGCAUGCAUUCAAUCAGUCUGUCAGCGCUCUGCAAGUCUGCAAAUCUUCGCUGUUAAGAUAUCAUUUGUUUGCAAAAGCUUGUUUGUUUUUUUUACUCACAGUUAUGUGAAGAAUAGAUAUGAUCUCACACAAAGAGACACACACAAUAUGACUCAUUAUUAACCAUAUUUAGGUAUAAAAUGUUAAGACAGCCUUGCUGAAACAUCUAAGGUUUACUAAUGCUACUCAUUGAAAUUCCAAGUUUUUAUUUAUUUAUGUAUUUAUUGCAUCUGUGAUCUGACAUGCAGAGAUUUUCAGGUACCUUUGAGAUAUAUUUUAUGCUAUUAGCGUCUUCAGUCUUCAAGGCUUUGCAAAAGUAUUCCUGUCCUGUGAACUUUUUCACAUUUUGUCACAUUAAAACCCAAACUUCUGUGUAUUUUGAUAAUUACUGUGUGCUCAACACAAGUUGGAAAAUGUCAAGAGGGAUGAUUGCUCUUCCAAGACACUGUGCAUACCACAAUACUUACUACUCAUGCAGAUUUUUGUCUUGAUGUUUCCGUAGAAUAACGUCCGUCUACCGCAUUUGCCUGUUCAUUGUCUGGGUUGUUCGACACGUUUUGGCAGAAUCAGUUUAUAUUGUGUAAAUGAAACACCAGACACGGACCACAUUCAACAAACUAUGACCAAAUGAAUUCACGUUUGAAGAACCAUAACAACAUUUGACAAGCCAAGUGAUAGGGAUCCAAACUACUGCAUAUUAAUAACUUUUCUUUUUAAUUAUUUGCAACAGCCCCAAAUAGCAACUAAUAUCCAAAGCUUAAACCCCUGAAUCAUUAAUGAAUAAAGGAAGCACACAUCACAGAAAAAUAAAAAAAAAACUUGAUUUGGAUGCAUUUAUUAAAUUAUUAAUGAUUAUCUGCUGUAAUUACAGUCAGUUCUUGCAGAGUUAAUCUCUCUGUAUGUGCAGAGCAGAAGGGAUGUAACCGAAGUAAAAGCAACUUUUUGACCCCGGCAACGCUGGCAACUUGUGGUAACCUCUGAAAUGUAUGAAAAUUGGCUUUUUGAAUACCUGUUUGAAACUACUGAAAAUCCUAGAAAUAAAUAUUUUUCCCUCCACACUCCUCGGGUAUCUCCCUUACCAUUUCAAAAAUAUACUCUCCAUUUUUCAUUUGCUGGAAUAUUGAUUAAUUUAGCUAUUAAACUGUUUUCAGCAGCAACAGAUGAAAAUCAAUUGUUUCUUCGCAGCCUAAAACAAUCCUGUCACAACACAUGGUAUCGCUUUUGAACACUUGAAUUUACG